AGCAGCCGCGGUAAUUCCAGCUCCAAUAGCGUAUAUUAAAGUUGUUGCAGUUAAAAAGCUCGUAGUUGAAUUUCGGGAUCAAUGGGUCGGUCGUGCCAAUGGUAUGUACUGGCCUCAUUGGUUCUCACCUUCUAAGGAACCAUGAUGUCAUUUAUUUGAUGUUGUGGGAAAUUAGGACUGUUACCUUGAAAAAAUUAGAGUGUUUAAAGCAGGCUAACGCUUGAAUACAUUAGCAUGGAAUAAUGAAAUAGGACGUUUGAUUCUAUUUUGUUGGUUUCUAGGAUCGACGUAAUGAUUAAUAGGGAUAGUUGGGGGCAUUAGUAUUCAAUUGUCAGAGGUGAAAUUCUUGGAUUUAUUGAAGACUAACUACUGCGAAAGCAUUUGCCAAGGAUGUUUUCAUUAAUCAAGAACGAAAGUUAGGGGAUCGAAGACGAUCAGAUACCGUCGUAGUCUUAACCAUAAACUAUGCCGACUAGGGAUCGGAUGAUGUAAUUUUUAAUGA
rnacentral:rRNA from 1 species